AAUCAACGCUGGCGGCGUGCCUAAUACAUGCAAGUCGAGCGAGAAGACGUAGCAAUACGUUUGUAAAGCGGCGAACGGGUGAGGAAUACAUGGGUAACCUACCCUCGAGUGGGGAAUAACUAGCCGAAAGGUUAGCUAAUACCGCGUACGCUCCUUGGACUUCGGUUCAGGGAGGAAAGCGAUACCGUGGGUAUCGCGCUCUUGGAUGGGCUCAUGUCCUAUCAGCUUGUUGGGAGGUAACGGCUCACCAAGGCUUCGACGGGUAGCUGGUCUGAGAGGACGAUCAGCCACACUGGCACUGCGACACGGGCCAGACUCCUACGGGAGGCAGCAGUAAGGAAUAUUGCGCAAUGGGCGAAAGCCUGACGCAGCGACGCCGCGUGGGGGAUGAAGGUCUUCGGAUUGUAAACCCCUUUCGGGAGGGAAGAUGGAACGAGCAAUCGUUCGGACGGUACCUCCAGAAGCAGCCACGGCUAACUUCGUGCCAGCCGCCGCAGUAAC
rnacentral:rRNA from 1 species